CGGAAGGCCCUUCGGGGUACUCGAGUGGCGAACGGGUGAGUAACACGUGGGUGAUCUGCCCUGCACUUUGGGAUAAGCCUGGGAAACUGGGUCUAAUACCGAAUAUGACCGCGCACUUCCUGGUGUGUGGUGGAAAGCUUUUGCGGUGUGGGAUGGGCCCGCGGCCUAUCAGCUUGUUGGUGGGGUAAUGGCCUACCAAGGCGACGACGGGUACCCGGCCUGAGAGGGUGACCGGCCACACUGGGACUGAGAUACGGCCCARACUCCUACGGGAGGCAGCAGUGGGGAAUAUUGCACAAUGGGCGCAAGCCUGAUGCAGCGACGCCGCGUGAGGGAUGACGGCCUUCGGGUUGUAAACCUCUUUCAAUAGGGACGAAGCGCAAGUGACGGUACCUAUAGAAGAAGGACCGGCCAACUACGUGCCAGCAGCCGCGGUAAUACGUAGGGUCCGAGCGUUGUCCGGAAUUACUGGGCGUAAAGAGCUCGUAGGUGGUUUGUCGCGUUGUUCGUGAAAACUCACAGCUUAACUGUGGGCGUGCGGGCGAUACGGGCAGACUAGAGUACUGCAGGGGAGACUGGAAUUCCUGGUGUAGCGGUGGAAUGCGCAGAUAUCAGGAGGAACACCGGUGGCGAAGGCGGGUCUCUGGGCAGUAACUGACGCUGAGGAGCGAAAGCGUGAGGAGCGAACAGGAUUAGAUACCCUGGUAGUCCACGCCGUAGACGGUGGGUACUAGGUGUGAGUUACCUUCCUUGGGAUCCGUGCCGUAGCUAACGCAUUAAGUACCCCGCCUGGGGGAGUACGGCCGCAAGGCUAAACUCAAAGAAAUUGACGGGGCCCGCACAA
rnacentral:rRNA from 1 species